AUAGGGACUACACCAUAGAGAUAUAUACUUAAUAACACUAGAGGGCGUACUCGCUCAAAUUGCUGUGUAGACCUGGAGCUGUGGCCGCCAUUACUAAGGAGGGCAGAAAAACGAACGACCCAACAAGAUUCUGUGCACAACAUACGUGGAAAAAAUUGGAGAAGCCAGGUUCGUGCGUUGCAUUUGGAUGUUCGAACCGAAGAAAGAAAGGGAACCGCAUGAUAUUUCACAAGAAUACACUCAAGAGAGGAAAGGAUGUUACACACCACAUCACAUUCUUAGAGCUGUGCCUACUGUCUUUCCUGGACAUCCUCCCUAUAAACAGACCCAUGGCUCAAGACUCCCAUCAAAACCAUGUACAACAUCCGAAAGUGUUCCCGUGCCUCCAAAGAAACCCUAUGACAUUACAAAAGAACAUGACUAUUCUUUUUCUGUCUGAGUUGAAUAGAAACUGAAUAUAACCAGACAGCAAGUGCAGGAUGCCAAGAAACAGCUUAAAGUGGUGAAACAAGGUAAACAGGAGAGAUGGAAAAACCAGGACUCUCUUGCAGGAAGUCCACGAAAGCAAGCUCAUUAGCCAGGAUCAGCUUGACCUACUUCAACACAACUUUGGAGAGAACGCAUUUUCAGGAAAAACAAAACAAAACAUAGAACUUCAUUCGUACAAACUACAAAGACAGAUCGGUCUUUUAUAUUUUGCCUCUUGUCUGCAUAGCUUAUCCACUGGAUGAUUGACUGUGAAGCCGUUUAAAACUGGAGAGAGCUUUCAAUAAUCUUUUUAAAAAAACAGAACAAUCUGAGACUUUUGUUCUGUGUAAUGAAAUAAAAUUUUGGGGACACAUUGUGACAGUUGCACAACCUAACCAUAAUUUUCUGUUUGUUAACUUUACACGAAGGCAAACUAAAGUGGAACUUAGGAGAAUUGAUUACAUUAGGAGUUAAACAAAAUGUACUUGAAUUUUGAGUUGUUGUGAGGUACACUGUAUUUGAAUAUUUACUCUAUAAGCUUCAUGAUUGUACCUGCUGUAUCUGAUUCAGUUGCUAUAAUUCGUCCCUAUUUUCAGGAAGUGACGGUAGUGAGGAAAAUCGUAACGCAAAGUGAAUGCAUUUUUUUUUCACUACCGUCACUUCGUGAAAACAGCGACGAAUUUUCGCAAAUUAUUUGCACUCUACAUGCGCUUUGAUUCUGCAGGUACAGUAUGGAUAACCUGAGAUAAACAUGUAGACCUUUUUUAUAACAUUGUCUGGAUUGCUCUCAACCAAGUGAUUUACAUCAUUAAAGAUGAAAAGCAAGAAAUUCACAUCAAGUGAGCCCAUUUUUAAUAAACGAGAAGAAUUCACAGAUGUGUGGCAAUUGAAAAGCCUGUGUAAUGCACACCAUAUACACACCCAUAGAUCGUUUUGUACAUAGGUUUGAAUUUUGUUCCAAAAUGGAAAACUGCUUUUGAAGAGAUUUGAUAACAGAAAAAUUAUAUGGAAUAAUGUCACUAGAUGUAAACCCAUAAGAUUGUGCACUCUUUGGCUUGUUGUAUCUACUGUGUACAUUUGAGGGUAAUCAGUUUCAAAUUUAUUAUUACACCUGAUGAAUAAUGAUGUCAAAAGACCAUGUUACUAUGAGGUUUCACUGAAUAGUGUAGUGCAGUAUCCUGAGAUGUAAGUCUCUUCAAUUAUAGUUCUUCAUAGCAAUACAGGUGACUUGGAAUAUUUAUGCUCAAUUACUAUUUCUGGUUUGUAUUUAUUACUCGAUGUAUUAUUUGUAAAUGUGACGCGCCUGCGUGCGCUUGGAGCCAAGACUAGUUAAUAAAGUGUUCGUUAUCGCUGACAUCUUGACACAUAGA
rnacentral:lncRNA from 1 species